GUGAGUCAUCGAAUCUUUGAACGCACAUUGCGCCUUCUGGUAAUCCGGAAGGCAUGCCUGUCUGAGCGUCAUUACACCAUUCAAACCUUUCUUUUAUUAGAAGUGGCUUGGUUUUGGGAGUAGACAGUUAGUCUUUGGGCUAUAGUCUCUCCUGUAAUGUAUUGACGAGCGUCUACUGUUCCUUAGUUGUAGCAAGUAAUUUCUCAACUUCAAGGUAAUAGUAGAUCUCUUACUUUCUCCUUGAUGGCUUCUUUUGGGAAGUCAUCUUCUUAAAGUUUGACCUCAGAUCAGGUAGUAAUACCCGCUGAACUUAAGCAUAUCAAUAAGGCGAGG
rnacentral:rRNA from 1 species